GAAAGGCCUGCGCCAGCGAUGGCCGCUUGCGAGGUGCUGCAUGGUUGUCGUCAGCUCGUGCCGUGAGGUGUCGGGUUAAGUCCCAUAACGAGCGCAACCCCUACUGCUAGUUGCCAGCGGGUCAUGCCGGGGACUCUAGCGGAACUGCCAGCGUAAGCUGCGAGGAAGGUGGGGAUGACGUCAAAUCAGCACGGCCCUUACGUCCAGGGCUACACACGUGUUACAAUGGCCGGUACAGAGGGCAGCCACCCCGCGAGGGGGCGCGAAUCCCGAAAGCCGGUCCCAGUUCGGAUCGGAGUCUGCAACCCGACUCCGUGAAGCUGGAUUCGCUAGUAAUCGCGCAUCAGCCACGGCGCGGUGAAUACGUUCCCGGGCCUU
rnacentral:rRNA from 1 species